CCCUUAGAUGUUCUGGGCCGCACGCGCGCUACACUGAUUCAUGCAACAAGUUUUGUCCUUGGCUGAUAGGCCCGGGUAAUCUUUGAACGUGAAUCGUGAUGGGGAUAGAUGAUUGCAAUUAUUCAUCUUCAACGAGGAAUUCCUAGUAAACGCAAGUCAUCAGCUUGCAUUGAUUACGUCCCUGCCCUUUGUACACACCGCCCGUCGCACCUACCGAUUGAAUGGUCCGGUGAAAUCUUCGGAUCUGAGAGAUGUCUGAUUAAUUUCGGACGCCUUUUGGAAAAGUUGUUUAAACCUUACCAUUUAGAGGAAGGUGAAGUCGUAACA
rnacentral:rRNA from 1 species